AACGAACGCUGGCGGCAGGCUUAACACAUGCAAGUCGAGCGCCCCGCAAGGGGAGCGGCAGACGGGUGAGUAACGCGUGGGAAUCUACCCAUCUCUACGGAAUAACGCAUGGAAACGUGUGCUAAUACCGUAUACGUCCUUCGGGAGAAAGAUUUAUCGGAGAUGGAUGAGCCCGCGUUGGAUUAGCUAGUUGGUGGGGUAAGGCCUACCAAGGCGACGAUCCAUAGCUGGUCUGAGAGGAUGAUCAGCCACACUGGGACUGAGAAACGGCCCAGACUCCUACGGGAGGCAGCAGUGGGGAAUAUUGGACAAUGGGCGCAAGCCUGAUCCAGCCAUGCCGCGUGAGUGAUGAAGGCCCUAGGGUUGUAAAGCUCUUUCACCGGUGAAGAUAAUGACGGUAACCGGAGAAGAAGCCCCGGCUAACUUCGUGCCAGCAGCCGCAGUAACAC
rnacentral:rRNA from 1 species